rnacentral:rRNA from 1 species
AGCAGCCGCGGUAAUUCCAGCUCCAAUAGCGUAUAUUAAAGUUGUUGCAGUUAAAAAGCUCGUAGUUGAAUUUCGAGACUGGUUUAUUGGUCGUGCUUUUGUACGUACUGGUAUUAUUGGUUUCUCCUUUCUGACGAAUCAUAAUGCCAUUAAUUUGGUGUUUUGGGGAAUCAGGACUGUUACUUUGAAAAAAUUAGAGUGUUUAAAGCAGGCUCACGCUUGAAUACAUUAGCAUGGAAUAACGGAAUAGGACGUUUGAUUCUAUUUUGUUGGUUUCUAGGAUCGACGUAAUGAUUAAUAGGGAUAGUUGGGGGCAUUAGUAUUCAAUUGUCAGAGGUGAAAUUCUUGGAUUUAUUGAAGACUAACUACUGCGAAAGCAUUUGCCAAGGAUGUUUUCAUUAAUCAAGAACGAAAGUUAGGGGAUCGAAGACGAUCAGAUACCGUCGUAGUCUUAACUAUAAACUAUGCCGACUAGGGAUCGGAUGAUGUUAAUUUUAAUGACUCAUUCGGCGCCUUACGG